GGAGUGGUAUCCAUAUCUGAAUUCAUAGGGUAUGAGAAGGCAGACCCGGGGAACUGAAACAUCUAAGUACCCGGAGGAAGAGAAAGCAAAUGCGAUUCCCUGAGUAGCGGCGAGCGAAACGGGAUUAGCCCAAACCAAGAGGCUUGCCUCUUGGGGUUGUAGGACACUCUGUACGGAGUUACAAAGGAACGAGGUAGAUGAAGAGGUCUGGAAAGGCCCGCCAUAGGAGGUAACAGCCCUGUAGUCAAAACUUCGUUCUCUCCUGAGUGGAUCCUGAGUACGGCGGAACACGUGAAAUUCCGUCGGAAUCCGGGAGGACCAUCUCCCAAGGCUAAAUACUCCCUAGUGACCGAUAGUGAACCAGUACCGUGAGGGAAAGGUGAAAAGCACCCCGGAAGGGGAGUGAAAGAGAUCCUGAAACCGUGUGCCUACAAGUAGUCAGAGCCCGUUAACGGGUGAUGGCGUGCCUUUUGUAGAAUGAACCGGCGAGUUACGAUCC
rnacentral:rRNA from 1 species